UACGUAGGGGGCAAGCGUUGUCCGGAAUCAUUGGGCGUAAAGCGCGUGUAGGCGGCUUCGUAAGUCCGUUGUGAAAGUUCAGGGCUCAACCCUGGAAUGCCGAUGGAUACUGCGGAGCUAGAGUCCGGAAGAGGCGAGUGGAAUUCCUGGUGUAGCGGUGAAAUGCGCAGAUAUCAGGAGGAACACCAAUGGCGAAGGCAGCUCGCUGGGACGGUACUGACGCUGAGACGCGAAAGCGUGGGGAGCAAACAGG
rnacentral:rRNA from 1 species